rnacentral:tmRNA from 1 species
UUUAUUGAAUCUCUCUUAAUUGCUUUUAUAUUAAUAGUGUUGGCUUGCCAACUACGACGAUAAACGAAUUUCGUAAUAACCAUUGCGGACGUGGGGGCAGUACCCACCACCUCCACCAUUUACAACUUAUGGGGGUGAACUAGAUUCGACGGGUGUCUAAAAGUUAUUCUUUCGUUCGGAAUUGUUCCUCCGUGAAGGGCUAAUUUAUAAUUGCUAACGAAAGUUAUGCACUUGCUGCUUAAUUAAUUUUUUAAUUAAGUAAACGGGGUCUGGGGCACCUGGCAACAGAACGCCCCUUUU